AUACCCUGGUAGUCCACGCUGUAAACGAUGUCGACUUGGAGGUUGUGCCCUUGAGGCGUGGCUUCCGGAGCUAACGCGUUAAGUCGACCGCCUGGGGAGUACGGCCGCAAGGUUAAAACUCAAAUGAAUUGACGGGGGCCCGCACAAGCGGUGGAGCAUGUGGUUUAAUUCGAUGCAACGCGAAGAACCUUACCUACUCUUGACAUCCACGGAAUUCGCCAGAGAUGGCUUAGUGCCUUCGGGAACCGUGAGACAGGUGCUGCAUGGCUGUCGUCAGCUCGUGUUGUGAAAUGUUGGGUUAAGUCCCGCAACGAGCGCAACCCUUAUCCUUUGUUGCCAGCACGUAAUGGUGGGAACUCAAAGGAGACUGCCGGUGAUAAACCGGAGGAAGGUGGGGAUGACGUCAAGUCAUCAUGGCCCUUACGAGUAGGGCUACACACGUGCUACAAUGGCAUAUACAAAGAGAAGCGAACUCGCGAGAGCAAGCGGACCUCAUAAAGUAUGUCGUAGUCCGGAUUGGAGUCUGCAACUCGACUCCAUGAAGUCGGAAUCGCUAGUAAUCGUAGAUCAGAAUGCUACGGUGAAUACGUUCCCGGGCCUUGUACACACCGCCCGUCACACCAUGGGAGUGGGUUGCAAAAGAAGUAGGUAGCUUAAC
rnacentral:rRNA from 1 species